CUGUGUGAUGAUCUUACGACACGGAAAGGCAUUCCUCAAUCCGAACAAUUAAUGUCGAACCUUGUCUAUAAUCAAGUUUCAGCCUUGUCUGACA
rnacentral:snoRNA from 1 species